GCUCUGGUGGUGGAAUUGGUAGACACGUAAGUUUCAGGUACUUAUGGGAGUUUUCCCGUGAAGGUUCAAGUCCUUUCCAGAGCACCA
rnacentral:tRNA from 1 species